rnacentral:rRNA from 1 species
UUUGAAGGGCCGCAGUAUAUUGACUGUGCAAAGGUAGCAUAAUCAUUAGUCUUUUAAUUGAAGGCUGGUAUGAAUGGUUGGAUGAGGUAAAUUCUGUUUUAUGUUAAUUUGUGUUGAAUUUAGAUUUUAAGUAAAAAGACUUAGAUGAUAUUAAGGGACGAGAAGACCCUAUAGAGUUUAAUAAAUGUAUUAAUUAGUUGAGUUAUUAAUGUAAUUUUUUAUUAUUAUAAAAUUUAUUUAAUUGGGGUGAUUGAAAGAUAAGUGUAACUCUUUUUUAUAUUUAAUAUUUUGAUUAGUUAUUUGAUCCAUAUUUAAUGAUUAAAAGAUUAAAUUACCUUAGGGAUAACAGCAUAAUUCUUUUUGAGAGUUCUUAUCGAGAAAGGAGAUUGUGACCUCGAUGUUGGAUUAAGAUUAGUUUUGGGUGUAGAUGUUCAAGAACUAGGUCUGUUCGACCUUAAAAAUCUUACAUG